UCAGUUGGAAGAAAAGAGGUUUGUGAAUAAGGAGGUUGAAAGCAAGAGCAACGAAAGGGUAAAACAUGGCUCGGAGUAAAGAGGAAUGAUUGUCCCAAACAUACACAGGGAAUGACAAAGGAAGAGAGAGCACAGGCCAAGGGCUCAACUGGAGAUAAGAGAGGGCUUUCCCUUGGGGCAGCAGUUCAAGCUGAAAAUCCACACUAA
rnacentral:lncRNA from 12 species